UGACAUUAGCCGUGUGUCCGAUUCACUCCGAUGGAAACCCCUGACGGGAGACAUGGAGGUGCCUGCUCGCCAUCUCUCAACAUGUCCCAACUCCUCUACCCUAAUGCUAUGAGGGGCAUGCUGGUACCAACUCCACAGAGCCCUAGCCUAGUGGGAGAGAGCAAAGCUAUAAUACCCUUGAGGCCUGUCUUCGGAACUCCUUUCACCCUAGUAGGGAGGGUUUCGAUGCCCAGUAAAGGCCUACCUGUCAUCAGCAUCUAGAUCCGAGGAUCAUUCCUUGGAGACGAGGCAUAUUCCCCUCAAACGAUUUAAUAAAACGUCCUAUUGCAUUC